rnacentral:rRNA from 2 species
GCGACCCCAGGUCAGGCGGGACUACCCGCUGAANUNAAGC